rnacentral:rRNA from 1 species
UACUCAGAAACGAACGUUGGGGUUAACGCGGGCUUAUUCGGGCAACUGGAUAAGUUAGCGGCGAACUGGUGAGUAACACGUAGGUAAUCUGCCGUGAAGUGGGGGAUAACCCAUGGAAACAUGGACUAAUACCGCAUAUACUCUUGCUACAUAAGUAGAGUAGAGGAAAGUUUUUUCGCUUCACGAUGAGCCUGCGGCCUAUUAGCCUGUUGGUAGGGUAAUGGCCUACCAAAGCUACGAUAGGUAGCCGACCUGAGAGGGUGACCGGCCACAUUGGGACUGAGAUACGGCCCAGACUCCUACGGGAGGCAGCAGCUGAGAAUCUUCCACAAUGGACGAAAGUCUGAUGGAGCGACAUCGCGUGAGGGAUGAAGGCCUUCGGGUUGUAAACCUCGGAAAUUACGAAGAAUGAGUGACAGUAGAUAAUGUAAGCCUCGGCUAACUACGU